rnacentral:rRNA from 1 species
AUUGAACGCUGGCGGCAGGCCUAACACAUGCAAGUCGAACGGUAACAGGAAGAAGCUUGCUUCUUUGCUGACGAGUGGCGGGCGGGUGAGUCAUGUCUGGGAAACUGCCUGAUGGAGGGGGAUAACUACUGGAAACGGUAGCUAAUACCGCAUAACGUCGCAAGACCAAAGAGGGGGGCCUUCGGGCCUCUUGCCAUCGGGUGUGCCCAGAUGGGAUUAGCUAGUGGGUGGGGUUACGACUCCCCUAGGCGACGAUCCCUAGCUGGUCUGAGAGGAUGACCGGCCACACUGGAACUGAGACACGGUCCAGACUCCUACGGGAGGGAGCAGUGGGGAAUAUUGCACAAUGGGCGCAAGCCUGAUGCAGCCAUGCCGCGUGUAUGAAGAAGGCCUUCGGGUUGUAAAGUACUUUCAGCGGGGAGGAAGGGAGUAAAGUUAAUACCUUUGCUCAUUGACGUUACCCGCAGAAGAAGCACCGGCUAACUACGUG